AGCAGUUGAGGACAAAGGCGGUCUGCCGAAGAAACCACUCAGCUCCUCUGAAAGACAAGGAGCCGGGGAAACAAAGAGAAGAAAACGUUCCUGUGAAGAUCUUUCACAGAAGCCCCACUCAGACUCUCCACUGUCUGCUGCUCCUGCAUCGACUUCUUUAUUGGAGGCUCCUGCAUCAGCCUCAUCAGUUUCUGGCCAGUCUUCUUCAUC